rnacentral:rRNA from 1 species
ACCAUGCAAGUCGAGCGGUAAGGCCUUUCGGGGUACACGAGCGGCGAACGGGUGAGUAACACGUGGGUGAUCUGCCCUGCACUUCGGGAUAAGCCUGGGAAACUGGGUCUAAUACCGGAUAUGACCUCAGGUUGCAUGACUUGGGGUGGAAAGAUUUAUCGGUGCAGGAUGGGCCCGCGGCCUAUCAGCUUGUUGGUGGGGUAAUGGCCUACCAAGGCGACGACGGGUAGCCGACCUGAGAGGGUGACCGGCCACACUGGGACUGAGACACGGCCCAGACUCCUACGGGAGGCAGCAGUGGGGAAUAUUGCACAAUGGGCGAAAGCCUGAUGCAGCGACGCCGCGUGAGGGAUGACGGCCUUCGGGUUGUAAACCUCUUUCAGCAGGGACGAAGCGCAAGUGACGGUACCUGCAGAAGAAGCACCGGCUAACUACGUGCCAGCAGCCGCGGUAAUACGUAGGGUGCAAGCGUUGUCCGGAAUUACUGGGCGUAAAGAGUUCGUAGGCGGUUUGUCGCGUCGUUUGUGAAAACCAGCAGCUCAACUGCUGGCUUGCAGGCGAUACGGGCAGACUUGAGUACUGCAGGGGAGACUGGAAUUCCUGGUGUAGCGGUGAAAUGCGCAGAUAUCAGGAGGAACACCGGUGGCGAAGGCGGGUCUCUGGGCAGUAACUGACGCUGAGGAACGAAAGCGUGGGUAGCGAACAGGAUUAGAUACCCUGGUAGUCCACGCCGUAAACGGUGGGCGCUAGGUGUGGGUUCCUUCCACGGAAUCCGUGCCGUAGCUAACGCAUUAAGCGCCCCGGCCUGGGGAGUACGGCCGC